rnacentral:rRNA from 1 species
GCACAAGCGGUGGAGCAUGUGGUUUAAUUCGAAGCAACGCGAAGAACCUUACCAGGUCUUGACAUCCCCUGACAACCGAGAGAUCGGGCGUUCCCCUUCGGGGGACAGGGUGACAGGUGGUGCAUGGUUGUCGUCAGCUCGUGUCGUGAGAUGUUGGGUUAAGUCCCGCAACGAGCGCAACCCUCGACCUUAGCUGCCAGCAUUCAGUUGGGCACUCUAAUGGGACUGCCGGUGACAAACCGGAGGAAGGUGGGGAUGACGUCAAGUCCUCAUGGCCCUUAUAGGUGGGGCUACACACGUCAUACAAUGGCCGGUACAGAGGGUAGCCAACCCGCGAGGGGGAGCCAAUCCCACAAAGCCGGUCGUAGUCCGGAUCGCAGUCUGCAACUCGACUGCGUGAAGUCGGAAUCGCUAGUAAUCGCGGAUCAGCAUGUCGCGGUGAAUACGUUCCCGGGUCUU